GGGCGCAAGCCUGAUGCAGCCAUGCCGCGUGUAUGAAGAAGGCCUUCGGGUUGUAAAGUACUUUCAGCAGUGAGGAAGGCGGGUCGUUAAUAGCGGCCUUGUUUGACGUUAGCUGCAGAAGAAGCACCGGCUAACUCCGUGCCAGCAGCCGCGGUAAUACGGAGGGUGCGAGCGUUAAUCGGAAUUACUGGGCGUAAAGCGCAUGCAGGUGGUUUGUUAAGUCAGAUGUGAAAGCCCGGGGCUCAACCUCGGAAUUGCAUUUGAAACUGGCAGACUAGAGUACUGUAGAGGGGGGUAGAAUUUCAGGUGUAGCGGUGAAAUGCGUAGAGAUCUGAAGGAAUACCGGUGGCGAAGGCGGCCCCCUGGACAGAUACUGACACUCAGAUGCGAAAGCGUGGGGAGCAAACAGGAUUAGAUACCCUGGUAGUCCACGCCGUAAACGAUGUCUACUUGGAGGUUGUGGCCUUGAGCCGUGGCUUUCGGAGCUAACGCGUUAAGUAGACCGCCUGG
rnacentral:rRNA from 1 species